AAAAAAAGCCAAGCAAAACCCCUUGAAAAGCGAUUUUUUCAACAUUAUAAUAAUGACACGAUCAACCAUAUGAUUACAAGUAUGAAAAUCAAAAAAAUCGCAAAAAGUAUUUUAUUAGGUAGUUUAGCAACACUACCACUAAUUGGUGUUCAUCUGGUUUAAUGGUUAAUAAAACUAGUACUAACACCAACUACAACCUAACUAACCAAGCAGUUAGUUUAGUUGAAGAUUCUACUAACCAAGACCAACCACUAAAAAAAUGAAGUAACGACCUAUCUAAAUAUAAGAAGAUCGAUAACGAUCAAACCUUAUUCUUAGGUAAGAACUACAUUAGAUUAAAUAAUACAGUUGUCUUUGAUCACGAGUAAAGAAAACUAGUUCAACAAACAACAGUAGGUGUUUAUGAUUCGUUAAACAACCAACUACAAGCAAUCACUUUAACAAAUGAUUAUAAACACCUAUACUUUGUUGAUGAUAAUGAUCCAACCAAAGGAUUUGUUGCUACAGAUAAUCUACACAAUGCGAUUUAUUACCCGAUUGAUUUAAAUACUGGUUUAAUCGACCAAGAACAUGGUUGAGCCAUCACCACCCAAAGACCAGCUAGUAAUGUUGCAACUUAUCUUUCAAUCCAGGGUGAUGAACAAAACGAUCUAGUUAAAAAUGCUAGGAUCUUUAGCUUUAGUGUUGAUAAUAACUUCUAUUCAAUUUUUUAAGUCUUUUGCUUACAUCGUCCGUAUAUCCUAUCAUCACACAGUCUGAGAAUGAUGGAUUGAUAAGUAUGUAGAUUACGCCUUGUGAUUUAGUUUCCAUAGAUUAGUUGCCCUCCUACUUAGGUUUGCUUUUCACCUUAUUCUGUUUUCUAUCUAGUUGAAGUGUAUAUAAAUGCAUCAAUGCUUCGUAAUACUUGUCUUCAAAUGUUUCAGGAUCUGCAUCUCCUCUGCUAAUUUCACCAUUAAUGUCAAUAUUAUUUAGGAAACCAUCAUGUCGAGUCCUCAAAACAAGAAUAGACAAUUCUCUUACUAUUUCAAUAAUCCAAAAGUAAAAUUCCUCUCCAUCGCAAUCGCGAAAAUUCUUUAUUACGUUGAGAUAAUCAAGAGGUUUAAUUGCAUCACUUUUGUUAAGUCUUUUAUCAUUUAGAACAAAAGCUUGAUAGUAUGACUCUAAAUAUGUAAAAAAGUCUAGUUUAUUAGUUUGUAGAAAUAUCUUUGAUAUUGUACCGGAACUGUACCAUCCUAAUAUAUCCUCAAAUAAAAAUUCUGGCUCAUUAUAUUUAGAUGCUAAAGCCGACGAAUGGUCAGAGAAUGCUUUAUGAAAAUAUUUAGCGCGUUCAUAUAAAAAAGUAUCACCAAAAUCAUAUUUUUUAGCAAAAUCAUCAAUUUCCUUGAUUCCUUCAUUAAUCCAAUCUGAACUUUCGAUUAGUUGAUAGUCAUAUCCGGCUUGCUUAAGAACUUCUUUUUGCACAUCGUUAGGCAAAGCAUUAAAAUCAUUAUAGAUUUGUCUUAUAUGCUUAUGGUGUCUAUUAACACCACUAGCGAUAACACAAUAUGGCAAAUAUAAAAUGUCGUUAUUGCCAUGAUCAAUGAUGAAUUUUCUAGCUUGAUACUCUACAUCAGCUUUGUACCUUUUGUCAUCAGACUUUUUGCCCAUAUAAAAGAUUGCAAAAGAAACUAAGCCAGAGGCAAAUAAUGAAAGAAUGCUAAUAAUUAAUGUUGUUAUUUCAUAACCUGUCAUUUGCUAGUUCCACCUUUUGACUAAUCAUUAUUUUCCUCAAAGUUCUCAACUUGUCUCAUUACCUUACUAAAAACUUCAGGACUAUAUUGAGGAGGAUAACCAUUCCUGACUAAGCAAAUCUUAAUACCAAAUUUGAGCUGUUCUCUUACAUUCCUAUUAUUAAGCCAAUCAGCAAAUGAAGAUUUCGUGUCGAUGAUUUCUUUGACUUUUUUAGCUAAAUUACGACAUUUUUCAUUAAUAACAAUACCAUCAACGUUUUUGUCUUCGCCGUACUCAAAGUUAUAGUGAUCCCUUAAAUCAAUUAAAAUGUCAUAGAAAGCUUUUUCUUCGAAAGUAAGACCAAUUUUCCUAAAGCUUUCCUUAUUUUCUUUUAAUUCAUUGAGAAGCUUAAUAGCUUGUUCGGUAGCAUUCUUAAUGAUUUCUUCAGAUGCAUGUUCUUGAGCUUCACCAGCUUCUUCUUCAGUCAAGGUCUUUCUUCUUUCAUGAUAUUCUUGAAUCGUCUUUUCUAACAUCUCUUGGAAUUUCUUUGAAGCAACUUGAUUGAUUUUCCUAUACUCUUUAAUUUGUUUUUUAAGAGACUUAAUCAAUAUCUCAAGUUUGGUUGCAGGCAUCUUUAUAUCACUUAAUUUUUCAAAGUACUCUGGACUAAAAAUAUCUUCUUGCUCAUUAGUAUCAAGGAUACUUUCGACGUUACUAUAUUUAAGAGCUUCUUCUACCAUUUUAGAUAGAUUUCUAUUCAUGGUUUCUGUAUCCACUUUAGUAGUACCGCUCAUUUUUCUAACAAAACCUGCAAUAGCCAUAAAACACUGAGCUAAAGCAGAUUCUUCCUCACUUAAGCCACCAGAAGGUUGGCAAAUAUCAUAGGCCCUUCUCAUUCUGGUGACCAUUUUUAAGAAAUACGUCUUAAAAGAUACUUUCGAGCUAUGCGCUUGAUUUUCGCCUACAAAAUUUAAAGUUUGCGAUGAAACGAAUACUUGUUCAGCUGUUUUAGAAAGUAAUUCAUAUCUUCUAGUUGGCUCGCAGUUAACAUCAAUAAACGGACUCAAAUCAUAGUCUUUAAACAAAUCCUUUAAAAUUUCUAAUUGUUCUCUAAAGAUUUGAGUAGCCUGUUCAACAUCAUCAGCGGUUGGAGCAAUGGAGGUAUCGCCACCAUAAAUCUUCAUGGCUUCUCGCAUAUUGUCCCUAAUCCCGAUGUAAUCGAUAAUCAAGCCGUAUUCUUUACCUGGAUACUUACGAUUGACACGAGAAAU
rnacentral:antisense_RNA from 1 species